GAUGCUUCACUGUAAUCCACAGCUUACAGCUUGGUAUUGUUUUCUCCCUAGCUGGAUGAACCUCUGGUCUGAAAAAGUGUGGCAACGUGGGCUUUUCUUUGAAAUAAGGCUUGGAAAAAAGCUGCUUCUACAGUGCUGACGAAAUAAACAUAAUACAUUUUUUUUGCCA
rnacentral:lncRNA from 1 species